rnacentral:rRNA from 1 species
GANGAANNNNGGNGGCGNGCNNAAACACGCUUUUCGAACGGAAAGGCCCUGCCUUUGAGGGGCGCUCGAGUGGCGAACGGGUGAGUAACACGUGAGUAACCUGCCCUUGACUUUGGGAUAACUUCAGGAAACUGGGGCUAAUACCGGAUAGGAGCUCCUGCUGCAUGGCGGGGGUUGGAAAGUUUCGGCGGUUGGGGAUGGACUCGCGGCUUAUCAGCUUGUUGGUGGGGUAGUGGCUUACCAAGGCUUUGACGGGUAGCCGGCCUGAGAGGGUGACCGGCCACAUUGGGACUGAAAUACGGCCCAGACUCCUACGGGAGGCAGCAGUGGGGAAUAUUGCACAAUGGGCGGAAGCCAGAUGCAGCAACGCCGCGUGCGGGAUGACGGCCUUCGGGUUGAAAACCGCUUUCGCCUGUGACGAAGCGUGAGUGACGGUAAUGGGUAAAGAAGCACCGGCUAACUACGUGCCAGCAGCCGCGGUGAUACGGAGGGCGCGAGCGUUGUCCGGAUUUAUUGGGCGCAAAGGGCUCGGAGGUGGUUGAUCGCGUCGGAAGUGCAAUCUUGGGGCUUAACCCUGAGCGUGCUUACGAUACGGGUCGACUUGAGGAACGUAGGGGAGAAUGGAAUCCCUGGUGGAGCGGUGGAAUGCGCAGAUAUCAGGAGGAACACCAGUGGCGAAGGCGGUUCUCUGGGCCUUUCCUGACGCUGAGGAGCGAAAGCGUGGGGAGCGAACAGGCUUAGAUACCCUGGUAGUCCACGCUGUAAACGGUGGGUACUAGGUGUGGGGUCCAUUCCACGGGUUCCGUGCCGUAGCUAACGCUUUAAGUACCCCGCCUGGGGAGUACGGCCGCAAGGCUAAAACUCAAAGGAAUUGAUGGGGCCCCGCACAAGCGGCGGAGCAUGCGGAUUAAUUCGAUGCAACGCGUAGAACCUUACCUGGGUUUGACAUGGAUCGGGAGUGCUCAGAGAUGGGUGUGCCUCUUUUGGGGUCGGUUCACAGGUGGUGCAUGCCUGUCGUCAGCUCGUGUCGUGAGAUGUUGGGUUAAGUCCCGCAACGAGCGCAACCCUUGUUCACUGUUGCCAGCACGUUAUGGUGGGGACUCAGUGGAGACCGCCGGGGUCAACUCGGAGGAAGGUGGGGAUGACGUCAAGUCAUCAUGCCCCUUAUGUCCAGGGCUUCACGCAUGCUACAAUGGCUGGUACAGAGAGUGGCGAGCCUGUGAGGGUGAGCGAAUCUCGGAAAGCCGGUCUCAGUUCGGAUUGGGGUCUGCAACUCGACCUCAUGAAGUCGGAGUCGCUAGUA